rnacentral:rRNA from 1 species
GACGGGAUGGCGUGCUUUCAACGCGGUAUGGUCGUAAUCAAUGGGUUGUCAAUUUCUUAAUAUUUAAAACAAAUUUCGCUGAGGAAAGUGGGCGUGGAUUUCGAUGUUCGCUGUUCGCGGGAAUGGUUUAAAGGAAAACUCAAAUUGGGCUAAUCUAGAAACUCGUGGAGAGAAAUAAUAGGAUUAAAAAAUUUUUUGAAAAAUUUAAAGUUUAUUAUUAUAAUAAGCUUUGUUUUUUGAAGAAUAAAGUUUAUUGUUAUUUAUUUUUUAAAACUUUUAAAGUUUAUAAAAUUAAACUUAUAACAAUAAACUUCUAACAAUCCUUUAUUGACUCUCGCUGCAAAAUUAAUUUGGCUUCUGGCAAUUGUCAGGAAUUUAGCCGAAUAUAACUUUUGUGAAUUUAUAAUUAUAAUUAAUUAUUUACAUUCUUUUGCAAAGGAUAUUUAGUAUGUUAUCAGCUGUCAUUAAUUUUUAAUUUUCGACUUUUAUUUCGGGAUUUUGAAUUCUAAAAUUAUCAAUGUAAUCAUUAUUAAUGACAGCUUAAUUACCAGCAGUCUCGGUAAUUCAAGCUUUGCUAAAUACCUAAAUAAAAGAUAUCUGGUUGAUCCUGCCUGAACUGAUGUGUUUAUUUCAAAGAUUAAGCCAUGCAUGUAUAAGUUUAAUCGUUUAU